rnacentral:rRNA from 1 species
CCUACGGGCGGCAGCAGUGGGGAAUAUUGGACAAUGGGGGCAACCCUGAUCCAGCCAUGCCGCGUGUGUGAAGGAGGCCCUCGGGUUGUAAAGCACUUUCAGUGAGGAAGAACGCCUGGUGGUUAAUACCCAUCAGGAAAGACAUCACUCACAGAAGAAGCACCGGCUAACUCCGUGCCAGCAGCCGCGGUAAUACGGAGGGUGCGAGCGUUAAUCGGAAUUACUGGGCGUAAAGCGCGCGUAGGUGGCUUGAUAAGCCGGUUGUGAAAGCCCCGGGCUCAACCUGGGAACGGCAUCCGGAACUGUCAAGCUAGAGUGCAGGAGAGGAAGGUAGAAUUCCCGGUGUAGCGGUGAAAUGCGUAGAGAUCGGGAGGAAUACCAGUGGCGAAGGCGGCCUUCUGGACUGACACUGACACUGAGGUGCGAAAGCGUGGGUAGCAAACAGGAUUAGAUACCCUUGUAGUC